GAUGAACGCUGGCGGCGUGCCUAAUACAUGCAAGUCGAGCGAACAGACGAGGAGCUUGCUCCUCUGACGUUAGCGGCGGACGGGUGAGUAACACGUGGAUAACCUACCUAUAAGACUGGGAUAACUUCGGGAAACCGGAGCUAAUACCGGAUAAUAUAUUGAACCGCAUGGUUCAAUAGUGAAAGACGGUUUUGCUGUCACUUAUAGAUGGAUCCGCGCCGCAUUAGCUAGUUGGUAAGGUAACGGCUUACCAAGGCAACGAUGCGUAGCCGACCUGAGAGGGUGAUCGGCCACACUGGAACUGAGACACGGUCCAGACUCCUACGGGAGGCAGCAGUAGGGAAUCUUCCGCAAUGGGCGAAAGCCUGACGGAGCAACGCCGCGUGAACGAUGAAGGUCUUCGGAUCGUAAAACUCUGUUAUUAGGGAAGAACAAAUGUGUAAGUAACUAUGCACGUCUUGACGGUACCUAAUCAGAAAGCCACGGCUAACUACGUG
rnacentral:rRNA from 1 species